UGCUGAAGAUGUGAUUUAGGGAGGGCUGGUAUGGUCACUCAGUUCAUAUGAGGAGUUGGUGGCACCAGGCAGGCCUGAGGAACCCCUUGCCCACCUGAUUGGUCUGAUUAUGGAGGGCAGAGGGAUCGUUUCUACAAAGCUAGCAUAAUCCUCCUUGGCCAGCAUGCUAGAAUUCUAAACUCACUUUGGAGCCUCAUUCACUCUGAGAAGAAGAAAAACGAUCUACAAUGAAGUCUGGGAAAGCAUAUUUAGAAAAUUGCCUUAUUACAGGCAACCAUUUCUGAUACCUUCAGACACUCGAUGUUUAUGUAUGUGAGGAAGAAUCCAGACAAAAAGUGCAAGCCGCUGGUCUCAGGUUCUCAAGUGAGUGCUUGGAAGAGGCAAAGUCCCCACAUUGUCACCAGUGACCCCCCCCCCUUCGUUCACAGCAGGCGUCUGGAAGAACAGCAAGCCACACGCAGACCAGGCAGGGGCAUCGCGCUUCCUUCAGUGGUAGCCUUUGGAACCUUUUAAGACUGCUCGCUAAAACCACAGCCUGGACUGUCUCUGGGUCCCAAAGUGGUGACCUGACCGGCAGCAGCACCUCCACCACAGCCCAGCCUCUUCUUCGCGUGCACUGAGCCCUGAGGAGACCUGAGGUGUCAGAGAGGGAGCCAGUGCCAACUCAUCCCCAGCCCCACAUGUUUACAUCGACCUGCCUUUGCUCUUCAGAAGCUGCACUUCAAACUACUUGAUGAUGAAUUUGGGGAGAAAGACCACAGGUGCCUCACAGGCAGCCUCAGACACCGGGAGGUCCGUCUUUCCCCUUCGCAUCCUCCAAUUCAGAUGCAAACCAUUCAAUUCAGAUGCUGCACACAGCUCUCCUCCAGACAGCCACAGUCCCACGAUCUGCUUUUCUUCUUGACUUUUCUUUCGGUAGGCCUGGGAACCUGCACAGCGCUUCGGUGAAGACGCGGGACCAUCCCAGAGAACCCAGCAGCCGCCUCUGUCCACUGCUCUCAUCCCCGAGGACAAGCUUGGAAGCCAGUGUUGAGCCUGCUCUGCCCUGCUCUGCCCUGCUCUGCCCGGACUGGCCACACUGCUGUUAGCUGCCCGUGACCAGUUUGGGCUGGACAGUACCACUGGAGUUUAUAUUUUGAUCACUCUUUCAGACCCCAGUGAGCGUAAAGGAAGAUGUACAUGUUGCAAUGUUUUAAGAAGACCCCGCACAUUCCCCCCUCUGCAUCAAGGGAACAGGGUCAGGCACACCGCAGCACUUUUCUUCAGGGAGGUCAAGUAGCUGAGGUCCCAGCUGGUCCCUGCCACGCUCCUUGUUUCCUUUUGUGUCCUAAGGCCAUCCAGACCACCACCACCCACCCAAUGUUCCUAAGAUGACUCUGACUUGGCACCCAAGGCCAGAUCAAAAAGAAGGGUUGUAGCACCGUCCAGUCCUUUCCCAGUACUUGGAGAAGCUGCAGAAUGGAGGCAGCCUUUCAUUCCUUCACCUGAUUGGUUAAUGAUCCUACCUUCUCAAAGCAAGCCUCUUUGUACCCUUGCAGCAACGCAAGAGGAGCAUCACUCCCCAUUACAGAUGGUCAGCUGGGCUCAUGAAGGUCCAUAAGCUGGAUGGACGGCUUAACCAAGCUCUGCAAGCACCAGAGCUCGUACCUAGCUUAGGUCCCAGCUGGUGGCCUUAGGAUCCAGGGGAGGCCUUCCGGGAUAUUCACAAACGGCCUCUGCAACCCCGGGUUCACCUGAAGAGUAGCGUCCAGUCUUCUCUAUGCAUAUCUGGGCCUCAUGGCUGGGAAGAUGCACCGUGGGAACUCAGCCCCGAAGCUUGCUCUGCUCCACAGAAAGCCAGAAUGCGGUGGUCUGAUUUCUGCUAAUGCAGACUCAUUUGUAUCGAUAAUACAUUGCUGUCCCUUAAACAGAAAGGGUUCUAGAACUCUGGUCACUCCUUGGCUCGUGAAGGUAAGUCAUGUGGAUGCCAUUUAGUGACUUGGUGCGCAAGCAUCUGUCUACAGUGACUUUGGAGAGGAUGUGCCUUUGGUGGGCCAUACGGCCAGCUUCUCUAGUGAGGGUUUGUACCAGGGGGUGUGUAGCCGCACACAGGUGUCAGUCCAGGCAUUGCUGGCCUCUCCAUCUAAGGCACUGGUUUUCAACCUGCCUAAUGCUGCAACCCUUUGAUACAGUUCCUCAUGUUGUGGGGAUCCCCCCCGACC